rnacentral:rRNA from 1 species
AUUGAACGCUGGCGGCAUGCUUUACACAUGCAAGUCGAACGGCAGCGCGGGCUUCGGCCUGGCGGCGAGUGGCGAACAGGUGAGUAAUACAUCGGAACGUGCCCAGUAGUGGGGGAUAGCUCGGCGAAAGCCGGAUUAAUACCGCAUACGACCUGAGGGUGAAAGCGGGGGAUCUUCGGACCUCGCGCUAUUGGAGCGGCCGAUGGCAGAUUAGCUAGUUGGUGGGGUAAAGGCCUACCAAGGCGACGAUCUGUAGCUGGUCUGAGAGGACGACCAGCCACACUGGGACUGAGACACGGCCCAGACUCCUACGGGAGGCAGCAGUGGGGAAUUUUGGACAAUGGGCGAAAGCCUGAUCCAGCAAUGCCGCGUGUGUGAUGAAGGCCCUCGGGUUGUAAAGCACUUUUGGCGGGAACGAAAAGGACUGUGCCAAUACCACGGUUCGAUGACGGUACCCGCAGAAUAAGCACCGGCUAACUACGUG